rnacentral:rRNA from 1 species
AGCGAAGCGAAGAAGAGCGGAUGGAGGAUGCCUAGGCUUUUGGAGGCGAGGAAGGACGUGGAAAGCUGCGAAAAGCCCCGGGGAACCGCAAACAGGUAUUGAUCCGGGGAUGUCCGAAUGGGGAAACCCAGCAACUUGAAGAGUUGCUACCUAAGUGGAGUCAACGCAGGGAACUGAAACAUCUUAGUACCUGCAGGAAAAGAAAGAAACGAUCGAUUUCCCGAGUAGUGGCGAGCGAAACGGAAAGAGCCCAAACCGUGGUUGUUACGGCAACGGCGGGGUUGUAGGACUGCGAGAAGCGAACAUCAGCGAACCGGAACGAUCUGGAAAGUUCGUCCGAAGAGGGUGACAGGCCCGUACGGGUAAGUGCGAUG